UUUUUUAAUGAAAAAUCUUUAUUUUUUAAAAAGGAAAACUUAACACAGAAAUGUUCAUAUUGUAAAUGAUAUUUGUGAAUGCCAAAUCAGGAUAUUGCAUAUUGUAAAUGAUGAGCUUGAGAAUUGAUGAUUUUAUGCCUUUUGAUCAUGACAUAUUGACAUGUUUGCACAAAUGUGAUUGAGUUGAAGCGUCACAUAAACAGUAUGUUCUGUCACUAAGCCUGCUAACUGGUGAAUACUGGCCUGACUUUUGUGCUAUACUAUAGAAUGUCUGGAUCAUUGGUUGGUGCUGAACGUGUGCCUGCAUUAGAGUAAACUUAAAAAACCAUUUCAUUCAUUGUUUUGCCCUUAGGAAAGGUGGACUUUGCAUGCUCAUUUAGGUUUUGGACUACUUUGGAUGAACUGAGUGGCGUGAGUUGUGAUGUGCUGAAAUUAUGUUGGCAUUCACGGUUUUGAGGAUUUGAACUGAACCGAAAAACCAUACUAAACCGAUAAGAAUCAAACCAAACUUAUUUUGUUGCUUUGGUUUGGUUCUUUUUCUUCACUAAGAGCCGAACCAUAACUAUGCCGAAAUCGAACUGGAAUUAUACCGAAUCGAGAACCAAUUUUAUACAUUUUUUUUAUAAUUUUUAGAUGUAUUAUAUAUUUUCAAUAUAAUUACAUAUACUUAUGUAUGUACAUAAAAUUAUGAACUAAAU
rnacentral:misc_RNA from 1 species